UCUUCAUGGCAGUGAUCAAUAACGGGAAGGAAGAGAAUUGCGGGGGCGAGUGGGAUCAGCUCGAUGGUUCUUAGUCGUUUCUAUACAUGCAAGGAAAAUGCUGUUCUUCGACAGGAUCCAUGGUGGUUUGCCAUUAAAGCCGGUGGAGAAGAAAAAUGAUAGAGAUAAAGGGUCGACUGACCUAGAAAUGUCUCUGCAAGAGAGAGAAGCAAGCUUUUGCGCACAUCUCUGGCUCGAGAUCUCUGAUUUGCACUCCCUUCAUUUAUUUAUUUUUUUCAUUCUUAUUUAUCGGUGAAAUUAGAUUUUUUUUAUUUUUUUUCAUACUUUUGAUGUCAAAAUUUGGAUCACCGUUAGUUAGAGUGUUGAAUAAAAUUAAAAGAACCUUGUACCUGUGACAUAUGUAUGUAGCCAUGUGGAGGUGUUUUCCUCUUCAUUAAUGCUCGACCCCAAAAAAAAACAGAAAUUAUGUUGUAUAUCAGUUUAAUUUAAUUGUUUUAAUUUUUAUUUUUAUA